rnacentral:rRNA from 1 species
UUAAAUUGAAGAGUUUGAUCAUGGCUCAGAUUGAACGCUGGCGGCAGGCCUAACACAUGCAAGUCGAACGGUAACAGGAAGCAGCUUGCUGCUUUGCUGACGAGUGGCGGACGGGUGAGUAAUGUCUGGGAAACUGCCUGAUGGAGGGGGAUAACUACUGGAAACGGUAGCUAAUACCGCAUAACGUCGCAAGACCAAAGAGGGGGACCUUCGGGCCUCUUGCCAUCGGAUGUGCCCAGAUGGGAUUAGCUAGUAGGUGGGGUAAC